GGACACACAUUGAGAUUACCUAGAUGACAUUAAUAUGCACACUCCAAUCCGAGACAGAUGGAAUAAAAGGCUUUCCUCUACCUUUAUUGCUUUCUCCCUCUCUUUUCUCUCUGAAAGAACCUUCUUGGCUGGCUCUCAGUGGAGUUGAAUUGGUAUGGCUUUAAUUGAAUCAACUAGCUCUUUUCUUGUGCCGCACUUAUGAGGCCAGAGCAGCCAAAUGGCUUGAUGACAAGGUAAUGGCAGAAGAAUUGAAUGAGCGACGCUGCCAGAGGGGAGAGAAAACCCAAUGGUAUUCUUUCGCAUCUGCAGCGAUACACAUACUCACACACAGACACAUUACAACACUAUCACUACUGAUCACUGAAUUUAACCAAAAACACAGGAAAAAUGAUAUUUCAGUGAAAUUCAGAUUUUUUUUGAACUUGUAGAUUCUACUGUUGUCAUGGCAAACAUUGUAUACAAUAUUCUGGUUGAAUAUUCAGUAUUCAAAUGAGCAUAGUAUAAGCAGUUACAAUUUAUUUUUAAUUUAUUUUUAUUUAUUUUUUACCUCAAGGAGCUAUUCUUAUUUUUUUUUCUAUAUAGGAGCUAUUUAAUUUUGUUGGCAUGUAUAUCAGUAAUAGGAUCAUAAACCAACUUAAUGACUUAGGUGAUACUUUAAGAAAAUAUUGUAUGUCAAAAGGGGUUUGAAAAUCCUAUUUGUUAGACCUCAUUCUCAUACACAAAUUCUCUUUUGUCUGAUCAUCCAUAUGUCAUGUUUGACCAGCUAUUUUGAACCAAAGAGACUUAUCACAGUCUGUAAUAACAGCAGUUCUUUCUUUCCUCACCUUCCAGCAGAACAUUUACAGGAAGUGCCACCCAUUGUUUGAAGAUAUUCAGGUUUUUGGUGAACAAUCAGUGUGAGGCUGACAUAGAAGGUCUCGACCUGAUUGCUGUGAAAGUUAAGGACGCAGAGGAGAGAUUGAGAGAUGCAUUCCUUCUAAAGAAUCUGGACAGAGACAAUAGAACAGCGCAUGGGCACUUGGGGAACAGAAGGGUGACACAGAGGGCAGCUCUCAUCCACAACAACUCUCCUCCUUUGAAAACAAAAACCCCAACCUGUUACUGCUUCAGCCUGUCUGUGGGAGGGGAUGCUCGUAAUAAACGUCCCAGCCCCCUCGUUAGGCAUUACGAGGUUGGAGGGAAGAUUAGCAGGAUUAAGACUGGCUCACAUAUGCUGCUCUUCACUAUUGGCAUUCAACACAACACAAGCCCAACUGCCACCCAGACGGGGAGAGAAAGAGAAAGACAGGGUGAGAGUGAAAGUUUUCCUCUGAUAUUAAAGCAUUGCUACACUAAAUCAAGGCUGUUUGGAAUAAUUGCGGAAGAAAAAAAAGGCUGUUUAGUGGGAAAGGGACAGAGAAAAAAAAUGUUGGAUGGUGAGAGGGAUAUGGAUGAGAAUGCAG
ensembl:lncRNA